UGCCUGGCGUUCUUCAACCUGAGUAGU
rnacentral:piRNA from 1 species